AUUGAACGCUAGCGGCAGGCCUAACACAUGCAAGUCGAACGAGUGGCGGACGGGUGAGUAAUGUCUGGGAAAGUGCCUGAUGGAGGGGGAUAACUACUCGAAACGGUAGCUAAUACCGCAUACCAUCGGAUGUGCCCAGAUGGGAUUAGCUAGUAGGUGGGGUAAAGGCUCACCAAGGCAACGAUCCCUAGCUGGUUUGAGAGGAUGACCAGCCCCACUGGAACGUAUACACGGUCCAGACUCCUACGGGAGGCAGCAGUGGGGAAUAUUGCACAAUGGGCGCAAGCCUGAUGCAGCCAUCCCGCGUGUAUGAAGAAGGCUUUCGGGUUGUAAAGUACUUUCGGCGGGGAGGCGGUACCUGCAGAAUAAGCACCGGCUAACUCCGUGCCAGCAGCCGCGGUAAUAC
rnacentral:rRNA from 1 species